CCUAGUAACAUUGGAGAGUGGGG
rnacentral:piRNA from 1 species